rnacentral:rRNA from 1 species
GAGGCGUUCAUGUGCGGUUUGUUGAUGGUGCGAAUUCUCUUUGACUAGGGAUCCAAAGAGGGUGCUAGACCCUUACGCAUUGUUGACUUUUCGUACGCGUUCGUUUCUUGGAGUAGGGUUGUUUUGGAUCGCAGCCCAAAGUAGGUGGUAUACUUCAUCUAAAGCUAAAUACGACUACGAAUCCGAUAGCAAACAAGUACCGUGAGGGAAAGUUGCAAAGUACUUUGAAGAGAGAGUUCAAGAGGACGUGAAACCGGUAGGGUGGAAGCAGAUAAAGUUGACGAACGUGUGUCGUAUUCAGAACUACAAUUUGUGGUUUGUUUUUACGAUCGAUGUGGGCUGGCGUCUUUGGUUAACUUAGUGUCUGGCGGCAAUGGUGACCCUGCGGAGGGAUAAUCGGUUGUCGUGCGAUGCUUGGUAUGGCUAGAGGUUCGCUGGUCUUAUAGUCAUCGCUUUAUCUGACCCGUCUUGAAACACGGACCAAGGAGUGUAGCGCUUACGCGAGUCUUAGAGUGUGUCAAAACUUUGAGGCGUAACGAAAGUAAAUGUGGAUUUAUUCACUGACUUGGGAUGCGUUGUCUUUUUUGGAUAGCGUGGACCAUGGUUUUAUCGUAAUCGCUUGCGAUGCGGUGAAAAUAGAGCGUAAGCGGUGCGACCCGAAAGAUGGUGAACUAUGCCUGAGCAGGAUGAAG